CCUACGGGAGGCAGCAGUGAGGAAUAUUGGUCAAUGGUCGGGAGACUGAACCAGCCAAGCCGCGUGAGGGAGGAAGGUACAGAGUAUCGUAAACCUCUUUUGUCAGGGAACAAAGGCGGGGACGUGUCCCCGGAUGAGUGUACCUGAAGAAAAAGCAUCGGCUAACUCCGUGCCAGCAGCCGCGGUAAUACGGAGGAUGCGAGCGUUAUCCGGAUUUAUUGGGUUUAAAGGGUGCGCAGGCGGCCUGUUAAGUCAGCGGUAAAAGCCCGGGGCUCAACCCCGGCGAGCCGUUGAAACUGGCGGGCUGGAGUUGGAGAGAAGUACGCGGAAUGCGUGGUGUAGCGGUGAAAUGCAUAGAUAUCACGCAGAACUCCGAUUGCGAAGGCAGCAUACCGGCGCUCAACUGACGCUCAUGCACGAAAGUGUGGGUAUCGAACAGGAUUAGAUACCCUAGUAGUC
rnacentral:rRNA from 1 species